AACGAACGCUGGCGGCAGGCCUAACACAUGCAAGUCGAACGCCGUAGCAAUACGGAGUGGCAGACGGGUGAGUAACACGUGGGAACAUACCCUUCGGUUCGGAAUAACUCAGGGAAACGUUGAGCUAAUACCGGAUACGUCCGCGAGGAGAAAGAUUCAUCGCCGGAGGAUUGGCCCGCGUCUGAUUAGCUUGUUGGUGAGGUAACGGCUCACCAAGGCGACGAUCAGUAGCUGGUCUGAGAGGAUGAUCAGCCACAUUGGGACUGAGACACGGCCCAAACUCCUACGGGAGGCAGCAGGUGGGGAAGUAUUGGACAAUGGGCGCAAGCCUGAUCCAGCCAUGCCGCGUGAGUGAUGAAGGCCC
rnacentral:rRNA from 1 species